rnacentral:lncRNA from 1 species
GAAAGAAGCAAUGACAACAACACAUGUGCUAGUUCUUCCCAAUUUCAACCUGGAGUUUAUUAUAGAAACCGAUGCAUGUGGUAUUGGCAUUGGGGAAAAGCUAAUGCAGGAGGGACAUCCUUUAGCUUUUAUGAGUAAAUCACUUAGCAGUAGGCAUCAGCAACUUUCAGUUUGUGAAAAGGAAAUGAUGGCAAUAGUAGCAGCUGCACAAAAAUGGAGAUAUUAUCUCUUCGGAAAGAUAUUUCACUAUCAAGACUGAUCAACAAAGUCUAAAAUACCUCAUGGAAUAGAGGAUAUCAACCCCUAGUCAACAAAAAUGGCUAGCUAAGCUCAUGGGGUAUGAUUAUUCUAUCACCUACAAGAAGGGUCGAGACAAUUUGGUUGCAGAUGCAUUGUCUCGAUUGCCUAAAGAGGAGAUUCAGCUGCACACUUUAUCAUAUGUGUCUUCUUACUUCUUAGAGAAGAUCAAAGCUUCUUAUGAGAAAGAUACUUACAACAGAUUAUCCAACAAUUGAAGUAGGAUGCUCUGUCUAAACCCUUGUAUAUGUUGAAGGAUGGUAUUCUCUAUUGAGGGGGCAAGAUAGUGGUGGGUGCAGAUAAGGAAGCAAGGCAGGAAAUACUACAAGGUCACUCAGGGAUAGCUGCUACUCUGAGAAGAGUCACUUAGUUUUAUCACUGGAAGAAACUAAAGGUGGAUUUCCAUGAACACAUCAGAGGGUGUGAAGUUUGUCAAAGAUGUAAGGGUGAAAAUGUGAAAUCACGAGGAAUACUACAACCCUUGCCCAACCCAGAUAAGGUGUGGCAGGACAUUAGCCUUGAUGUUUAUCGAAGGCCUAUUAAAAUCAAAUCACCACACAGUGAUUAUGGUAGUGGUUGAUAGGUUGAGCAAGUAUGCUCAUUUUAUUGCCCUGAAACACUCAUACACUGCUGCCUUAGUAGCUCAGGCUUAUUUGGAUAAUGUUUACAAGCUCCAUGGACUACCUCAGACAUUAGUCAGUGACAGGGAUGUGGUCUUCCUCAGUAAAUUCUGGCAGUCUCUUUUUGAUGUUCAAGGAGUGCAACUGCAUCAUUCUACAGCUUACCAUCCUCAAUCGGAUGGCCAAACUGAGGCAAUGAAUAAAUGUUUGGAAGGGCAUCUCAGAUGCAUGUGUAUUGAUCGACCCAAAGAUUGGGCACACUGGUUGUCACUGGCUGAAUGGUGGUAUAAAACUACCUACCAUUAUACUACUAAAUUGACCCUAUUUGAGGUAUUAUAUGGACAAAAGCCACAUACGUACAUGCCUUAUGCUCCAUACAACUCAUUGGUGGAAGAAGUGGAUAGAAGCUUGCAGGCUAGAGAAAGCACUAUCAGGUUACUCAAGCAUCAUCUACUGUUAGCUCAAUCUAGAAUGAAGAUUCAAGCUGAUAAAAACAGAUCCUUUAGAGAGUUUGAGGUGGGAGAUCAAGUGUUUGUCAGGCUGCAACCUUACAGGCAGAUCUCCUUCAAGGUCACUCUUAUCACAAACUAAGUCCAAAAUAUUUUGGUCUAUUUCAAAUAAUCAAGAGGGUUGGAUCUGUAGCCUACCAAUUGCACGUACCUCCUCAUGCCAAAAUCCAUUCCACAUUCCAUGUUUCAUAACUCAAAAAGCACAGUGGAUAUGCUCCUGGAAUACCUGAUCUACCAGUAUCUCUUUCUCCUCAUGGCAAUAUUCUUUUGGAACCAGAGCAAGCACUGAAAUUUCGAUUCAUUUCCAAGCAUGCAGGUCAGGGAAGUGUUGGUGAAGUGGUUCAACUGUCCAAUUGAAG